UACAGAGGUCUCAAGCGUUGUUCGGAUUUAUUGGGCGUAAAGGGUGCGUAGGCGGCGCCGUAAGUCAGGUGUGAAAUCCCGGGGCUCAACCUCGGAACUGCACUUGAUACUGCGGUGCUCGAGUACUGGAGAGGAGAUUGGAAUUUACGGUGUAGCAGUGAAAUGCGUAGAUAUCGUAAGGAAGACCAGUGGCGAAGGCGGGUCUCUGGACAGUUCCUGACACUGAGGCACGAAGGCCAGGGGAGCAAACGGG
rnacentral:rRNA from 1 species